UAGGGAAUCUUCCACAAUGGGCGGCAAGCCUGAUGGAGCAACACCGCGUGAGUGAAGAAGGGUUUCGGCUCGUAAAGCUCUGUUGUUAAAGAAGAACACGUAUGAGAGUAACUGUUCAUACGUUGACGGUAUUUAACCAGAAAGUCACGGCUAACUACGUGCCA
rnacentral:rRNA from 1 species